CCUUACAUUCCAUAGAAAAGUAAACAGCCAGUUUUAUUUCGCCUUCAAUCUCUUCCCAUCGCUGCCACGUGAGAACGUGACGGUGACAUCCAGAGGAAAACAAGGAAAACACCCAGCCUUUCUGGGUGUUUUUAACCGGGUAUAUGUUCCAUAUACUAUCCUGCUACUAUCCUGGUAUUAUGUCCUGAACUGGAGUUAGCAGUUUGCUGCAAAAACUACUCGUGAGAGAAACCGCCCAAGUUUGUGA